UGGGGAAUAUUGCACAAUGGGGGAAACCCUGAUGCAGCGACGCCGCGUGAGCGAUGAAGGAAUUCGUUUCGUAAAGCUCUGUCCUAGGGGAAGAUAAUGACAGUACCCUUGGAGGAAGCCCCGGCUAAAUACGUGCCAGCAGCCGCGGUAAUACGUAUGGGGCGAGCGUUGUCCGGAAUUAUUGGGCGUAAAGGGUACGUAGGCGGUUUCAUAAGUCAGAUGUAAAAGCGUGGGGCUCAACCCCAUAAAGCAUUUGAAACUGUGGAACUUGAGUAGUGGAGAGGAAAGUGGAAUUCCUAGUGUAGCGGUGAAAUGCGUAGAUAUUAGGAGGAAUACCAGUGGCGAAGGCGACUUUCUGGACACAAACUGACGCUGAGGUACGAAAGCAUGGGGAGCAAACA
rnacentral:rRNA from 1 species